rnacentral:misc_RNA from 1 species
UUAUUAAAUUAAAUCUUUUAUUAAUUUGUAGAAACAUCAGAAAUUAACAUAGAUAAUACAUAACGAAGAGAAGCAGUUGAGUAAUUAACAUGCAUCUGUUACACGGAAGAACAGGAAAUGGAAUUAAUUAAAGCUUUCAAACCCAACCCAAGUCGAUCUCCAACAUGAACACACACAAGCACAUACAAAUACAAAAUAUAUAUGAAAUUAAAAGAGAUGGUGAUGCUUCUUCCCAUGAGCUUCUUCAUCCUGU